rnacentral:rRNA from 2 species
GACGAACGCUGGCGGCGUGCCUAAUACAUGCAAGUCGAGCGGACCUUUUAAAAGCUUGCUUUUGAAAGGUCAGCGGCGGACGGGUGAGUAACACGUGGGCAACCUGCCUGUAAGACUGGGAUAACUUCGGGAAACCGGAGCUAAUACCGGAUAAUAUAAGGAACCUCCUGGUUCUUUAUUGAAAGAUGGUUUCGGCUAUCACUUACAGAUGGGCCCGCGGCGCAUUAGCUAGUUGGUGAGGUAAUGGCUCACCAAGGCGACGAUGCGUAGCCGACCUGAGAGGGUGAUCGGCCACACUGGGACUGAGACACGGCCCAGACUCCUACGGGAGGCAGCAGUAGGGAAUCUUCCACAAUGGACGAAAGUCUGAUGGAGCAACGCCGCGUGAGCGAUGAAGGCCUUCGGGUCGUAAAGCUCUGUUGUUAGGGAAGAACAAGUGCGAGAGUAACUGCUCGCACCUUGACGGUACCUAACCAGAAAGCCACGGCUAACUACGUGCCAGCAGCCGCGGUAAUACGUAGGUGGCAAGCGUUGUCCGGAAUUAUUGGGCGUAAAGCGCGCGCAGGUGGUUCUUUAAGUCUGAUGUGAAAGCCCACGGCUCAACCGUGGAGGGUCAUUGGAAACUGGGGAACUUGAGUGCAGAAGAGGAAAGUGGAAUUCCAAGUGUAGCGGUGAAAUGCGUAGAGAUUUGGAGGAACACCAGUGGCGAAGGCGACUUUCUGGUCUGUAACUGACACUGAGGCGCGAAAGCGUGGGGAGCAAACAGGAUUAGAUACCCUGGUAGUCCACGCCGUAAACGAUGAGUGCUAAGUGUUAGAGGGUUUCCGCCCUUUAGUGCUGCAGCUAACGCAUUAAGCACUCCGCCU